AGUGAACGCUGGCGGUAGGCCUAACACAUGCAAGUCGAACGGCAGCACAGUAAGAGCUUGCUCUUACGGGUGGCGAGUGGCGGACGGGUGAGGAAUACCUCGGAAUCUACUUUUUCUUGGGGGAUAACGUAGGGAAACUUACGCUAAUACCGCAUACGACCUACGGGUGAAAGCAGGGGAUCUUCGGACCUUGCGCGAUUGAAUGAGCCGAUGUCGGAUUAGCUAGUUGGCGGGGUAAAGGCCCACAAAGGCGACGAUCCGUAGCUGGUCUGAGAGGAUGAUCAGCCACACUGGAACUGAGACACGGUCCAGACGCCUACGGGAGGCAGCAGUGGGGAAUAGUGGACAAGGGGCGCAAGCCUGAUCCAGCCAUACCGCGUGGGUGAAGAAGGCCUUCGGGUUGUAAAGCCCUUUUGUUGGGAAAGAAAAGCAGCAGGUUAAUACCCCGCUGUUCUGACGGUACCCAAAGAAUAAGCAACGGCUAACUUCGUG
rnacentral:rRNA from 1 species